AGAGUUUGAUCCUGGCUCAGAUUGAACGCUGGCGGCGUGCUUAAUACAUGCAAGUCGAGCGGUAACAGGUGUAGCAAUACAUGCUGACGAGCGGCGAACGGGUGAGUAAUGCUUCGGAAUCUGCCUAGUAGUGGGGAAUAACUAACCGAAAGGUUAGCUAAUGCCGCAUACGACCUAUGGUUGAAAGCGGGGGAUCGUAAGACCUCGCGCUAUUGGAUGAGCCGAAGUCGGAUUAGCUAGUUGGUGAGGUAACGGCUCACCAAGGCUACGAUCCGUAGCUGGUCUGAGAGGACGACCAGCCACACUGGGACUGAGACACGGCCCAGACUCCUACGGGAGGCAGCAGUAGGGAAUAUUGGACAAUGGGGGCAACCCUGAUCCAGCGACGCCGCGUGUGUGAAGAAGGCCUGCGGGUUGUAAA
rnacentral:rRNA from 1 species